CACAAACGAUUGCACCUCAACAGAUCCAGCUGUAAAACUCAUAAAGUUCGCAGACGACACCACGGUCAUCGGUCUCAUCAAAGACGGCGACGAGUCUGCGUACCGCCAACAAGUGGAGCAGCUGGAGCUCUGGUGCGGCCGACACAACCUCGGGCUGAACACGCUCAAGACUGUAGAGAUGAUCGUGGACUUCAGGAAACAUUCUUCUCCUCAGUUGCCCCUCACACUAUCCAACUGCCCUGUGUCAACCGUCGAGACCUUCAAGUUCCUGGGAAUCACAGUCUCCCAGGACAUGAAGUGGGAAGCCAACACCAUCUCCAUCCUGAAAAGGGCCCGGCAGCGGAUGUACUUCCUGAGGCUGCUGAGGAAGCAUGGCCUGCCACAGGAGGUGCUACGACAGUUCUACAUGGCAGUCAUUGAAUCAAUCCUGUGUUCUUCCAUCACGGUUUGGUUUGGGGCCGCCACAAAAAAGGACAAAAUCCGACUUCAACGGACAGUUAGGACGGCAGAAAAAAUCAUUGGCACCGCCCUACCCACUCUUGAGGACUUGCACACUGCAAGAAUCAAGACAAGGGCACGGAAAAUCCUCCUGGAUCCCCCGCACCCUGCCUACCACCUUUUUCAGCCACUCCCCUCAGGCAGACGCUACAGAUCCAUGCGCACCAAAUCCAGCAGACACUUAAACAGCUUCUUCCCUCUAGCCAUUAACUCCUUAAACAGUCACUGACAUAGUCACUCUUCUUGCAUCACAAAAUGGUACUACAAAACUACUGGUUACUCUAAAAUGGUUCAAUGAUUUUGUUGUUUACGAUGAUACUAGUGCAGCGUGUUAUACCGGAGACAAAUUCCUUGUGUGUUCUACAUACUUGCCCAAUAAAGAUGAUUCUGAUUCUGAAACGGUACGUGUGAUCUACGAUUGUUAAUAGGCUGCAAAAGUGCGUGGCAUACCUCCGUGUCAGGGCGUUGCUCAUCAUGGCGUGCAUAUGUGCGUGCGCUUUUAACGGGUCGAUCGUGGGAUGUUUGUCGGUCAAAAAGUAGAUCUUCAUGAACAGAUGUUUGGACAUCCUGCCAUAGAGCAAAAAACAUUGAGUGAUCCUUUGAAAAGCCAAGUUGUGGCUGAGCAGAUUCAGAAAAUUAAACAGUAUUUUAUUGAUGCAUGAUACCGUCAGUUCUUCUAUCUCAGGGGUGGCCAACAAGUCAGAGACUAAGAGCCAAUUUUUUUUUACUGUUACUGCAAAGAGCCACAUCAUACCCUUUCCCGCGCGCGCACACACGGCCACUUUUUUGCCCAUAGAUCAAGUUUUGAAGCGACCAACUUCCCACGAUCGACCCGAUCGCGCACGUGCGAGCACACACACACACACACACGCACAGAUGCACCCACACGUACACGCACGUGGGAGCCCACCCAUGCACGCACGCACGCCACGAUGAGCAACAGUCGGAACGGGCCGAAAAUGAACGAAAGCUAAAGACACAAACAAACAAAUCUUUUGUUCCCAUCCAUUUCCUCCUCCAACCCCUUGCGGUCGACUUGGAACCAGUUCGCUGUCUCCCGGUCGAUUGCGAUUGACGUAUUGGGCACCCCUGCCUUAAAAUCAGGUAAUUCGCUGACUAGUUUAGCGCUUAGCACCGUUGUUUGCGCUUGAGCGGUGAAGCAUCAUCUGAUUGGUUGCCAUCUAUGUCAAUCAACGGGAUUGGUGAUUGGUUGACGUAGUACGUUCUGUGUAUUUAGCGCCUUUGUUUGAAUGGCAUCGCCACUGCCGAGGUGUUUUCGGUACUUGUGUGAAAGCCCGGGAGCCGCAUGCGGGUCACGAGCCGCAGGUUGGCCACCCCUGUUCUAUCUAAUGCGUAUUAAAGCAAGCCUUUCUGGUCACUAGUCGUACAGUAUUAACACAUACACUUGUUUUUAUCUUUAAAUCCAUCAAUACCAAUGUUUCUGUUCUGUUCCCUCUUAAGGCCUUAAUCUGUCUGGUCGACAAAAAGUCAGGAGAGAAGAGUAAGACGCGGCCACGAUUUGUGAAACAAGACCAGGUCUGCAUUGCUCGUCUGCGCACGGCAGGCACCAUUUGCCUCGAGACCUUUAAAGACUUUCCUCAGAUGGGACGGUUUACCUUACGGGAUGAAGGGAAGACCAUUGCCAUCGGUAAAGUUCUGAAGCUGGUUGCAGAGCGGGACUGAAGACGCAGAUGUUCGAAAAAGCCAGUUUGGAAGAAACAGGUGGAGCUCGGUCAUAACCCGCCCAGUGUUGUCAGCGACAAAGACACCUUUCUAUGUCGCCUACCUUCUGUGUGCCGAUGAUCAGCUUCAGAAAAAGAAACUAAAGAGAAACCAGUUUUUAAGUCUGAAAUCCAAGAUGAAGUCCACUCAAGUCAGCUUUCUCAUAUUGAGAGCUCAGCUAUGCCAUUUCUGGGUUAGCCCGCCCUCCAUCUUUCCCUGCUUCUUUUGUCUGGCCAAUUCAUCAUGGCAGUAUUUUUUUUUCUUUCUCUAUUCCAUUUUAUUUUGUUUUCAUGAAUGACAAAUGACAGAAGCUACAUCUGUGAACAAAUGUGGACCAAGAUUUUUGCUUGGAGUGCAAAUUGACUUCAGAAAUGUGCUGCAAAAACAAAUGGUUUGAAAGAAUUUCA